ACUCCUACGGGAGGCAGCAGUGAGGAAUAUUGGUCAAUGGACGAGAGUCUGAACCAGCCAAGUAGCGUGAAGGAUGACUGCCCUAUGGGUUGUAAACUUCUUUUAUAANGGAAUAAAGUCGGGCACGUGUGCCUUUUUGCAUGUACCNUAUGAAUAAGGAUCGGCUAA
rnacentral:rRNA from 1 species